GUGCAGUAUGAAGACAUUAUUGCAAUAUUUUUAAUGUCUAUUUAAAGUCACAAGCCUCACAUUUAUUUUGGAGCUCAUAAAAGCUUUCUUUGUCAGAUAUUUGAAAUAUUUAAAAUUGAACUUUUAGGAAGUAAAGAUAUGUAACUAGGCCGCUGUAAUGAUUUAGUGCAAAUGAUUUAAUUUCAUUUUUAAGGAGGAAUGAUGUCAUUAGUGGUGAAGUCCAAGACAGAAGAUUCCGUCAGAUGUGAAGUUGUUGAUGGAGGUGAACUUAAGUCUAGACGGCAUUUGAAUGUUUAAGGAAAAAGUGCUACAUUGCCAUCUAUUACUGAAAAGGAUUGGGAUGACAUUAAGUUUGGGGUUGAAAAUAAAGUAGACUUUUAUGUUGUUUCCUUUGUCAAAGAUGCGAAAGUGGUCCACGAAUUGAAGGAUUAUCUCCGAAGUUGUGGUGCAGAUAUACAUGUAACUGUUAAAAUUGAAAGUGCAAACUCCAUACCAAAUCUGCAUUCUAUCAUUUCUACAUCUGAUGGGG